rnacentral:rRNA from 1 species
UGGGGAAUUUGGACAAUGGGCGAAAGCCUGAUCCAGCAAUGCCGCGUGUGUGAAGAAGGCCUUCGGGUUGUAAAGCACUUUUGUCCGGAAAGAAAUCCUUGGCUCUAAUACAGUCGGGGGAUGACGGUACCGGAAGAAUAAGCACCGGCUAACUACGUGCCAGCAGCCGCGGUAAUACGUAGGGUGCAAGCGUUAAUCGGAAUUACUGGGCGUAAAGCGUGCGCAGGCGGUUUGCUAAGACCGAUGUGAAAUCCCCGGGCUCAACCUGGGAACUGCAUUGGUGACUGGCAGGCUAGAGUAUGGCAGAGGGGGGUAGAAUUCCACGUGUAGCAGUGAAAUGCGUAGAGAUGUGGAGGAAUACCGAUGGCGAAGGCAGCCCCCUGGGCAAUACUGACGCUCAUGCACG